rnacentral:rRNA from 1 species
AUUGAACGCUGGCGGCAGGCCUAACACAUGCAAGUCGAACGGUAACAGGAAGAAGCUUGCUUCUUUGCUGUCGAGUGGCGGACGGGUGAGUAAUGUCUGGGAAACUGCCUGAUGGAGGGGGAUAACUACUGGAAACGGUAGCUAAUACCGCAUAACGUCUCAAGACCAAAGAGGGGGACCUUCGGGCCUCUUGCCAUCGGAUGUGCCCAGAUGGGAUUAGCUUGUUGGUGGGGUAACGGCUCACCAAGGCGACGAUCCCUAGCUGGUCUGAGAGGAUGACCAGCCACACUGGAACUGAGACACGGUCCAGACUCCUACGGGAGGCAGCAGUGGGGAAUAUUGCACAAUGGGCGCAAGCCUGAUGCAGCCAUGCCGCGUGUAUGAAGAAGGCCUUCGGGUUGUAAAGUACUUUCAGCGGGGAGGAAGGGAGUAAAGUUAAUACCUGUGCUCAUUGACGUUACCCGCAGAAGAAGCACCGGCUAACUCCGUG